UACGAAGGGGGCUAGCGUUGCUCGGAAUCACUGGGCGUAAAGCGCACGUAGGCGGCUUUUUAAGUCAGGGGUGAAAUCCUGGAGCUCAACUCCAGAACUGCCUUUGAUACUGAGAGGCUUGAGUCCGGGAGAGGUGAGUGGAACUGCGAGUGUAGAGGUGAAAUUCGUAGAUAUUCGCAAGAACACCAGUGGCGAAGGCGGCUCACUGGCCCGAUACUGACGCUGAGGAGCGAAAGCGUGGGGAGCGAACAGG
rnacentral:rRNA from 1 species